AGAAACUUUCCCUUCCCCCAAAAAUGCUGUUCCAUUUUAUUAAAACCUGUUUUACAAUUUUUACUCUGAAAAAAACAAAUAAACAUUCUGAAUUUUAUUUUUUGUUUAAAAAAACCUAAAUACUUUAUGCUUUCCAUCUCCCUCACUCUCCCUUUACUCUUCAGUCGAAAGGCUAAUGCCCAAGCUCUCCAUUCGCAACCAGCGAAGGUCUUCCUACGAUGACUCCGGUCGUGGAGACGUGAAUGGACGUGGGCGAGCAACGAACUAGUUGGGGGUCAUGCCUAGUGUGCCGACGUGUGUGGUGGAGAGGCGCUGAACGUGGGGGUUGCGGCGUGGGUAACCUAGGGAUUCCUAAGUUAGCUGACUAUUUUGCUUGGAAUUUUGGAUCAAUGUAUUGAGCCUGUUUAAUUUAGGCCAAAGCUGUAUUUUGGGCCGACAUUUAAACUUGAGCUUCAAAAUCUAUAUUGGACUGUAUUUUUAUUUUGAUUUUUACAGAAAUUUAAAAACCCGGGCAAAAUGGGCCUUUUACAAUAA